rnacentral:misc_RNA from 1 species
ACAAACUUGGUCAUUUAGAGGAAGUAAAAGUCGUAACAAGGUCUCCGUAGGUGAACCUGCGGAGGGAUCAUUACAAAAAAGAGUUGUCAAAAGACUCGAAAACCAUCGCGAAACAUACCUCGUCAGUCGUUGCUUCGGCGGGCGGCUCCCGCCCUGGCGGGGCCGUAGCCCGUAAAGGGCGCCCGCCGGAGGAACGGUUAUCAAACACUCUUGUCUUAACGUCUCUUCUGAGUUGAACGACUAGUUAAAAAAAUCAGUCAAAACUUUCAACAACGGAUCUCUUGGUUCUGGCAUCGAUGAAGAACGCAGC